GAUGAACGCUGGCGGCGUGCCUAAUACAUGCAAGUCGAGCGAACAGACGAGGAGCUUGCUCCUCUGACGUUAGCGGCGGACGGGUGAGUAACACGUGGAUAACCUACCUAUAAGACUGGGAUAACUUCGGGAAACCGGAGCUAAUACCGGAUAAUAUAUUGAACCGCAUGGUUCAAUAGUGAAAGACGGUUUUGCUGUCACUUAUAGAUGGAUCCGCGCCGCAUUAGCUAGUUGGUAAGGUAACGGCUUACCAAGGCGACGAUGCGUAGCCGACCUGAGAGGGUGAUCGGCCACACUGGAACUGAGACACGGUCCAGACUCCUACGGGAGGCAGCAGUAGGGAAUCUUCCACAAUGGGCGAAAGCCUGACGGAGCAACGCCGCGUGAGUGAUGAAGGUCUUCGGAUCGUAAAACUCUGUUAUUAGGGAAGAACAAAUGUGUAAGUAACUAUGCACGUCUUGACGGUACCUAAUCAGAAAGCCACGGCUAACUACGUG
rnacentral:rRNA from 1 species